UAAUAACCAUACGACGGAAAAUAUUUCGUUUCGUACAUUGAGAACUUGAUAUAAUCUACAGAUAUUAAAAAUAGAAAAAUGUCUGUACGGGACAUAUCACUUCGCACCGUGAGUGUUGUCUUGGCGGGAAAUUGGCAAUGAAAAAUUCAGACAGAUUAGAAACAAACGAGAAACGAUUUUAAUAUUAAAAUAAUUUCUGUUUCCCGUGUAUCCGGGAGAAUUCAAAAAAAAAAAAAAAUUAAAUUCAAAUUGAAAAGUCCUUCAAGAUUUUUUCGGUGAAGCGUUCAGACAUUUCAAAUAGCUGUGUAGAUUUUAUCAAAAAUCGCGGUGUGUAUUAUCGUCAUUAUAUUGUUGUCGGUA